rnacentral:rRNA from 1 species
AUUGAACGCUGGCGGCAUGCUUUACACAUGCAAGUCGAACGGCAGCGCGGGCUUCGGCCUGGCGGCGAGUGGCGAACGGGUGAGUAAUACAUCGGAACGUGCCCAGUAGUGGGGGAUAGCUCGGCGAAAGCCGGAUUAAUACCGCAUACGACCUGAGGGUGAAAGCGGGGGAUCUUCGGACCUCGCGCUAUUGGAGCGGCCGAUGGCAGAUUAGCUAGUUGGUGGGGUAAAGGCCUACCAAGGCGACGAUCUGUAGCUGGUCUGAGAGGACGACCAGCCACACUGGGACUGAGACACGGCCCAGACUCCUACGGGAGGCAGCAGUAGGGAAUUUUGGACAAUGGGCGAAAGCCUGAUCCAGCAAUGCCGCGUGUGUGAUGAAGGCCUUCGGGUUGUAAAGCACUUUUGGCGGGAACGAAAAGGACUGUGCCAAUACCACGGUUCGAUGACGGUACCCGCAGAAUAAGCACCGGCUAACUACGUG